UACUAUGUUACGACUUAUCUCAUCAAAUAAACGAGAGCGACGGGCGAUGUGUACAUACUAUAGAGCUAUAUAAUCAAAUUACGCUAAACAAAAUUACUAUUAAAUCCACCUUCAUAUUCAACAUUACAAUUAAUAAUCCGUAAUAAACAAUAAUUUAUUGUAACCCAUCUCCACUUAAUCACACAUUAAACCUUGACCUGAACUACCAUCCAAUAAAAUAACCAUAAAAUUUAUUAUAACCCAAAAAAGACCUUCAUAUCAAACGGCGGUAUAUAAACAUAACAUUAAGUAAGUUCCAACGUGGAAUAUCGAUAACGGAACAGAUUCCUCUAAACAGACUAAAGUACCGCCAAAUUCUUUAAGUUUCAAGAACAUAUCUAAUACUACUGAAGUAAAUAAAUUUACAUCAUCAAUAAUAGGGUAUCUAAUCCUAGUUU
rnacentral:rRNA from 1 species